rnacentral:ncRNA from 1 species
UAAAUGUUAGAAACGGGAAUGAAAUAUAUUUAUUAUCUUGUUUCUUCCAAACAAACAUUAAAAAUGUUUGGAAGAAAAAGAAUAUUUUCAUAGUAAUAAAAUUUCAGUUUUAAAAGUUCUUUAUGUUAAAAAGUUAAUAUCUAUUUAUUAGAAGAUAGAUUUUUCAUUUUUGGAAAUUAAAAAUAGAUUUUUAAUUUAUUCUGGCAAAGCCUGUGCCAGCCGCCGCGGUUAUACAGUCAGGGUGUGAUAUUUGUAUUAGAAAGAUAUUUAAAUUUUUAAUUGUUUCAGAUUAAUUAGGUGAAAUUAUUAAUUUUUCUAAUUUUGGAAGAUUUUGGAAAUUUGUAGCUAAAAAUAGGAUUAGAUACCCUAUUAUUACAUAAUAAUAUGUUGGGAUUAUCUUGGAUGUUGUAAAAACUAAAUGAAAUGGCGGUAUUUUAAGCUUUUUAGAGGAAUUUAUUCUAUAAUUGAUAAAGCUCAAACAUCUUACUUGAUUUGGUUAAGACAGUUUGUAUAUCGCUAUCAUUUUUAUACUGCUGUUAAGCAAUUAUAGUAGUAAAUUUUUAUUUAAAAUGUUAGGUCAAAAUGCAGCAUAAAAUUAAGUUUGAAAUAAAUUACAGUAAUUUUUAUUGACUUUUUUGAAAAAUUUUUAGGAUUUAAUAGUAAAUUUAAAUUAUAAUGUUAAGUUGAAUAUAGCUCUGAAAUAUGCACAUAUCGCCCGUCGCUCUCAUGAAUGAGAUAAGUCGUAACAAAGUAAAAGUAUCGGAAGGUGUUUUU